rnacentral:rRNA from 1 species
CGGUAGGUGAACCUGCGGAAGGAUCAUUG